UACGAAAAGUACAAACGUUGCUCGGAAUUAUUGGGCGUAAAGCGCACGUAGGCGGUAUUGCAAGUCAGAUGUGAAAUCCCUCGGCUUAACCGAGGAAGUGCAUCCGAAACUGGCGAGCUAGAGUACGAAAGAGGAUCGCGGAAUUCCCGGUGUAGAGGUGAAAUUCGUAGAUAUCGGGAGGAACACCGGUGGCGAAGGCGGCGAUCUGGGUCGAUACUGACGCUGAGGUGCGAAAGCGUGGGGAGCAAACAGG
rnacentral:rRNA from 1 species